CUCCUUCUUCUUCUCUUUUCUUCAUUUGUCCUACCUUUCAAUCCACUCUAACUCAAAGUUUAUUCAACAUUUUGUCAAAUAAGAAGCUCCUAGGCAAUCUGGAGGCUGAAAGCAACAAUUUCACCGUUCGAAUCUCGGUUUCUUGUAGCGGGUACUGUAAGGGUUUCCAUAGGACGCAGGACAUUUCUAGCCUUCUUGAGUUUGGUUGUCUACACUAUAGUAGGUGAUGAUAUACCAUUGGAGCAAGCUUUGGAGACCGAGGAAGAUCUGACCCUUAGUUCUUAGGAUUUUAUCUGCUCCUAGUUUAGAUGACUUUUAUUUUGAAAGACCCUUAGCAUUUUCUUAUCAUGAUAUGUAUUUUGGAAAACACUUUUUAGGCCUAUUUAAAGUUUAG